AGAGCGAACGCUGGCGGCAGGCCUAACACAUGCAAGUCGAACGCCCGUAGCAAUACGGGAGUGGCAGACGGGUGAGUAACGCGUGGGAACGUGCCCUUCGGUUCGGAAUAACCCAGGGAAACUUGGGCUAAUACCGGAUACGUCCGUAAGGAGAAAGAUUUAUCGCCGAAGGAGCGGCCCGCGUCCGAUUAGCUAGUUGGUGAGGUAAAGGCUCACCAAGGCGACGAUCGGUAGCUGGUCUGAGAGGAUGACCAGCCACACUGGGACUGAGACACGGCCCAGACUCCUACGGGAGGCAGCAGUGGGGAAUAUUGGACAAUGGGCGCAAGCCUGAUCCAGCCAUGCCGCGUGGGUGAUGAAGGCCCUAGGGUUGUAAAGCCCUUUCGGCGGGGAAGAUAAUGACGGUACCCGCAGAAGAAGCCCCGGCUAACUUCGUGCCAGCAGCCGC
rnacentral:rRNA from 1 species